UCCAUAGGGGCUUUGUUUGUAACACUAUUGUUUCCUUUCUUGGUAUUCUGUAUAAUCAGUGAAGCAAUGAACUCCAGUGUUCAUGAUACUUGGUCAAUAUUAUUUGGUUGCGUCUCAAAUGUCACCUUGUUCUCUACAAAGUGCACUACCUUUAACCAGGGCCCAUAGAGGAUAUGGUCCCAUUUGUGUCACAUUGAUAUCCUCCCCAUGCGGAAGUCACAGAUGAUAUGCAUGAUCGUAUUGACACGUAUUGCCAUCACAUGGUUGGCUCUAAAUGGGUAAUAAAAACAUUGACAGUCGUUGGGGCGGUAUCACCUAAAUCCAUCCUCUCAUCUUCUUUUCCAGGGAAAUUCCCGAGGAGUUCUAAUUCUUUCCUUCCUUCCGGUCCGAGGCGGCAUUGCUAUCAACUGUUCCAAACAGGUGGGGGCAUUGGGGGUAUUGGUCAGACAGGUGUUGUUGGUGAGAGCGAAGCUUGGGCAUCAGGCAGAAUGUUGGCAUCUGCAUGAGUGGAACAGAGGAGCCUCAGUUCUGGGUGAGUUCAGGGCCCACAUUCACUAUAUCUCUGGCACAAUAAAACCUUCUGCCCUUCUGCAGGGCAUCAUGAAGAGCAACUUUCUUAGUGGGAAAGCACCAUAAACCAAAUCAUUUGGGACAGUAUGAGAAGAAAUCAACAGUGACAAAUGUUUCGAAAGGUAUCUCAACAGUAUUUAUAGCCCUAUAAGUAGGAAAUUAUUUCAACAAUUUUGGAAAACCGCUCACCAAGCUCUGACCAGGCCGAAAUGAUUUCUCAAUACAAUACAUAGACUUAUUAUAUCAGACAGUGAUUUAACACAUUUUCCACGGAAGUCCUUUGGGUAAAAACUAUUUUGACAGGUACCAUUUCAGCGUAUACAGUACUGUGGUGUAAUGCUCAUCAGUAAGCAUUUCACGGUAAGGUCUACACCUGUUGUAUUUGGUGCAUGUGACAAAUAACAUUUUAUUUGAUUUUGCCAUACCCAUACUUGAUACAGUAUGCCCAUCUAAAAGCUUGCCAACAUCUCACCUAAUCCAGAAUUAGCUGGACGAUCUACGAUUAAGACUAUCCUACCGGGACAUUAAAAAAUGUAAUAUCUUAUGUUUCACCGAGUCGUGGCUGAACGACAACACGGAUAAUAUAGAGCUGGCUGGGUUUCCUGUGCAUCAGCAGGACAGAGCAGCUACGUCUGGUAAGACGAGGGGCUGGGGUGUGUGUGUAUUUGUCAAUAACUGCUGGUGCGCGAUGUCUAAUAUUAAAGAAGUCUCGAGGUAUUGCUCGCCAGAGGUAGAAUACCUCAUGAUAAGCUGUAGACCACACUAUCUACCAAGAGAGUUCUCAUCUAUAUUAUUCGUAGCUGUCUAUUUACCACCACAAACCGAUGCUGGCACUAAGACCGCACUCAAUGAGUCCAUAAGCAAACAAGAAAAUGCUCAUCCAGAAGCAGCACUCCUAGUGGCCAGGGACUUUAAUGCAGGGAAACUUAAAUCCGUUUGACCUCAUUUCUACCAGCAUGUCACAUGUGCAACCAGAGGAAAAAAACUCUAGACCACCUUUACUCCACAUACAGAGACGCAUACAAAGCUCUCCCUCGCCCUCUAUUUGGCAAAUCUGAACAGAAUUCUAUCCUCCAGAUUCCUGCUU
rnacentral:lncRNA from 8 species